AGUCACUGACAUUAGAUACCCGCGUAGUCCAGGGUGUAAACGCUGCAGACUUGGUGUUGGAAGUCCUUUGGGGGCAUUCAGUGCCGGAGAGAAGUUGUUAAGUCUGCUACUUGGGAGUACGUCCGCAAGGAUGAAACUUAAAGGAAUUGGCGGGGGAGCACCGCAACGGGAGGAGCGUGCGGUUUAAUUGGAUUCAACACCGUAAAACUCACCAGGGAAGACUGUUACAUGAAAGCCGAGAUGAAGACUCUGCUAGAUUUUCAG
rnacentral:rRNA from 1 species